UGCAGUAAUUGCUGAUUUUGUAAUGGAUUUGCAUCAGAAAGAACAGCUUCAUAACAAUGUUGUGUCCAUGAUGCAGUCCCACCACUACCCGAAGAACUACACAACUUUGGGGGAACAUAUUCAUCUUAUCGUCCACAGAAAAAGCAGCAACAUGCUCCUUCAGUCAGUAGCAGUGGGGUUUCCAUUACUUUUGUUAACAUUCAAGACAUGAUCCAAUUACAGUAAUUGGGUCCCAUCCUACCAUGCAGCCUAUCACUCAAAGGUGAUAUAAAU